CCGUUAAUAGGGAGGGGGCGCAAACGUUUUAUUGAGAUUUUGAGCGGUAAAGCCCCCCCCAGCUGUUUUUUAAGUCUUGAGUUAAAUACCCCGAUCUAAACCGGGGAGGUCCUUUGAAACUGGCAACUUGAGUUUUAUAGAGGGGGGUGGAAUUUCCAGGUGUUACCGGGGGAAUCGGUAGAAAUUUGGAGGAACCCGGUGGCGAAGGCGGCCUUCUGGUCAAAAACCUGGCCCUCAGGGGCGAAAACGUGGGGGACCAAACAGGAUUAAAUUCCCUGGUAGUCCACCCUGUAAACGAAGUCGGCUUAGAGGUUGUGGGCUUGAGGCGUGUUUUCCGGAGAUAACCCGCUAAGUCGCCUSCCUGGGGAGUACGGCCCCAAGGUUAAAAAUCAAAAGAAUUGUCGGGGGGCCCCACAAACGGUGGAGCAUGUGGUUUAAUUUGAUACAACGCGAAAAACCUUUCCUACUCUUGACAUCCACAGAACUUUCCAGAGAUGGAUUGGUUCCUUCGGGGACUGUGAGACACAGCUGCAUGGCUGUCGUCAGCUCGUGUUUGAAAUAAUGGGUUAAGUACCGCAACGAGCGCAACCCUUAUCCUUUGUUGCCAGCGCGUCAUGGCGGGAACUCAAAGGAGACUGCCGGUGAUAAACCGGAGGAAGGUGGGGAUGACGUCAAGUCAUCAUGCCCCUUACGAGUAGGGCUACACACGUGCUACAAUGGCAUAUACAAAGAGAAGCAAACUCGCGAGAGCAAGCGAACCUCAUAAAGUAUUUCGUAGUCCGGAUCGGAGUCUGCAACUCGACUCCGUGAAGUCGGAAUCGUUAGUAAUCGUAGAUCAGAAUGCUCCGGUGAAUACGUUCCCGGGCCUUGUACACACCGCCCGUCACCCCAUGGGAGUGGGUUGCAAAAGAAGUAGGUAGGUUAACCUUCGGGAGGGCGCUUACCGC
rnacentral:rRNA from 1 species